rnacentral:rRNA from 1 species
GACGAACGCUGGCGGCGUGCUUAACACAUGCAAGUCGAACGAAGAGCGAUGGAAGCUUGCUUCUAUCAAUCUUAGUGGCGAACGGGUGAGUAACGCGUAAUCAACCUGCCCUUCAGAGGGGGACAACAGUUGGAAACGACUGCUAAUACCGCAUACGAUGUAAUCUCGGCAUCGAGGAUAGAUGAAAGGUGGCCUCUAUUUAUAAGCUAUCACUGAAGGAGGGGAUUGCGUCUGAUUAGCUAGUUGGAGGGGUAACGGCCCACCAAGGCGAUGAUCAGUAGCCGGUCUGAGAGGAUGAACGGCCACAUUGGGAGUGAGACACGGCCCAGACUCCUACGGGAGGCAGCAGUGGGGAAUCUUCCGCAAUGGACGAAAGUCUGACGGAGCAACGCCGCGUGAGUGAUGACGGCCUUCGGGUUGUAAAGCU